AGUGAACGCUGGCGGUAGGCCUAACACAUGCAAGUCGAACGGCAGCACAGUAAGAGCUUGCUCUUACGGGUGGCGAGUGGCGGACGGGUGAGGAAUACAUCGGAAUCUACUUUUUCGUGGGGGAUAACGUAGGGAAACUUACGCUAAUACCGCAUACGACCUACGGGUGAAAGCAGGGGAUCUUCGGACCUUGCGCGAUUGAAUGAGCCUAUGUCGGAUUAGCUAGUUGGCGGGGUAAAGGCCCACCAAGGCGACGAUCCGUAGCUGGUCUGAGAGGAUGAUCAGCCACACUGGAACUGAGACACGGUCCAGACUCCUACGGGAGGCAGCAGUGGGGAAUAUUGGACAAUGGGCGCAAGCCUGAUCCAGCCAUACCGCGUGGGUGAAGAAGGCCUUCGGGUUGUAAAGCCCUUUUGUUGGGAAAGAAAAGCAGCAGGUUAAUACCCCGCUGUUCUGACGGUACCCAAAGAAUAAGCACCGGUUAACUUCGUG
rnacentral:rRNA from 1 species